ACAAAUUGUUCAAGUUUAACCAUGUCGAGUGUAGUGAGGUGGAUAAACAACUCAAUCAACAACACAAAUGAAACAAUGAGUGUCGGAUAAUUAAAUCAUUAAUUACUCCAUACUGCAGGAAUUUUCACACGAAGGAGAAUAAAAACAGACUUUAAUAAAUAAUUUUGGCGAAUAUUUUUUGUGACAUGGAGGUCAGUUUCAUCAGCAAUACAUUAGAAUCUUAUAUUUUUUUGCUAGAUUAUUCUGUGAACCAUAAAAUUAUAAUCAAAUAAUCGUUUUGUUCUACAUUAUUGACCGUUGUAUCUAGUCAAGCGUGCUUUGUUGUCUCGUUGUUAUGGUUGAAUGUAAACAGAAAACUUAAAUUACAGUGCCAAAAUUAAAAU